rnacentral:rRNA from 1 species
CGGACGGGUGAGUAACGCGUGGGUAACCUGCCUUGUACUGGGGGACAACAGUUGGAAACGACUGCUAAUACCGCAUAAGCGCACAGCUUCGCAUGAAGCAGUGUGAAAAACUCCGGUGGUACAAGAUGGACCCGCGUCUGAUUAGCUGGUUGGUGAGGUAACGGCCCACCAAGGCAACGAUCAGUAGCCGGCCUGAGAGGGUGAACGGCCACAUUGGGACUGAGACACGGCCCAAACUCCUACGGGAGGCAGCAUG